rnacentral:rRNA from 1 species
CACCAAGGCAACGAUCAGUAGGGGUUCUGAGAGGAAGGUCCCCCACAUUGGAACUGAGACACGGUCCAAACUCCUACGGGAGGCAGCAGUGAGGAAUAUUGGUCAAUGGGCGAGAGCCUGAACCAGCCAAGUAGCGUGCAGGACGACGGCCCUAUGGGUUGUAAACUGCUUUUAUAAGGGAAUAAAGUGAGUCUCGUGAGACUUUUUGCAUGUACCUUAUGAAUAAGGACCGGCUAAUUCCGUGCCAGCAGCCGCGGUAAUACGGAAGGUCCGGGCGUUAUCCGGAUUUAUUGGGUUUAAAGGGAGCGUAGGCCGGAGAUUAAGCGUGUUGUGAAAUGUAGACGCUCAACGUCUGCACUGCAGCGCGAACUGGUUUCCUUGAGUACGCACAAAGUGGGCGGAAUUCGUGGUGUAGCGGUGAAAUGCUUAGAUAUCACGAAGAACUCCGAUUGCGAAGGCAGCUCACUGGAGCGCAACUGACGCUGAAGCUCGAAAGUGCGGGUAUCGAACAGGAUUAGAUACCCUGGUAGUCCGCACGGUAAACGAUGGAUGCCCGCUGUUGGCCUGAAUAGGUCAGCGGCCAAGCGAAAGCAUUAAGCAUCCCACCUGGGGAGUACGCCGGCAACGGUGAAACUCAAAGGAAUUGACGGGGGCCCGCACAAGCGGAGGAACAUGUGGUUUAAUUCGAUGAUACGCGAGGAACCUUACCCGGGCUUGAAUUGCAGAGGAAGGAUUUGGAGACAAUGACGCCCUUCGGGGCCUCUGUGAAGGUGCUGCAUGGUUGUCGUCAGCUCGUGCCGUGAGGUGUCGGCUUAAGUGCCAUAACGAGCGCAACCCCUCUCCUUAGUUGCCAUCAGGUCAUGCUGGGCACUCUGGGGACACUGCCACCGUAAGGUGUGAGGAAGGUGGGGAUGACGUCAAAUCAGCACGGCCCUUACGUCCGGGGCUACACACGUGUUACAAUGGCAGGUACAGAGAGACGGUCCCUUGCAAAAGGGAUCAAAUCCUCAAAGCCUGUCUCAGUUCGGACUGGGGUCUGCAACCCGACCCCACGAAGCUGGAUUCGCUAGUAAUCGCGCAUCAGCCAUGGCGCGGUGAAUACGUUCCCGGGCCUUGUACACACCGCCCGUCAAGCCAUGAAAGCCGGGGGCGCCUAAAGUCCGUGACCGUAAGGAGCGGCCUAGGGCGAAACUGGUAAUUGGGGCUAAGUCGUAACAAGGUA